rnacentral:rRNA from 1 species
AUUGAACGCUGGCGGCAGGCCUAACACAUGCAAGUCGAACGAGUGGCGGACGGGUGAGUAAUGUCUGGGAAACUGCCCGAUGGAGGGGGAUAACUACUGGAAACGGUAGCUAAUACCGCAUACUAUCGGAUGUGCCCAGAUGGGAUUAGCUAGUAGGUGGGGUAAUGGCUCACCUAGGCGACGAUCCCUAGCUGGUCUGAGAGGAUGACCAGCCACACUGGAACUGAGACACGGUCCAGACUCCUACGGGAGGCAGCAGUGGGGAAUAUUGCGCAAUGGGCGCAAGCCUGAUCCAGCCAUGCCGCGUGUAUGAAGAAGGCCUUCGGGUUGUAAAGUACUUUCAGCGAGGAGGCGUUACUCGCAGAAGAAGCAACGGCUAACUCCGUGCCAGCAGCCGCGGUAAUUC